rnacentral:rRNA from 1 species
AUUGAACGCUGGCGGCAUGCCUAACACAUGCAAGUCGAGCGAGCGGCGGACGGGUGAGUAAUGCCUGGGAAACUGCCUGAUGGAGGGGGGUAACUACUGGAAACGGUAGCUAAUACCGCAUACCAUCAGAUGUGCCGAGAUGGGGUUGGCUAGUAGGUGGGGUAAGGUGUCACCUUGGCGACGCUCCCUAGCGGGUCUGAGAGGAUGACCAGCGAUACUGGGACUGAGACAGGGUCCAGACUCCUACGGGAGGCAGCAGUGGGGAAUAGUGGACAAUGGGGGAAAGCCUGAUGCAGCCAUGCCGCGUGUGUGAAGAAGGGCUUCGGGUUGUAAAGCACUUUCAGCGGGGAGGCGUUACCCGCAGAAGAAGCACCGGCUAACUCCGUGCCAGCAGCCGCGGUAAUUC